rnacentral:snRNA from 1 species
GCUCACUUCGGCAGAACAUAUACUAAAAUUGGAAUGAUACAAAGAUUAGCAUGGC